AAAAACAUGGCCUUUUGAUUAAAAAUUUAAGGUCUAACCUGCUCAAUGAGUUUUAAAUAGCCGCAGUAUCUUAACUGUGCAAAGGUAGCAUAAUCAUUAGUUUCUUAAUUAGAAGCUGGAAUGAAAGGUUGAAUGAGAAAAUAACUGUCUCUAUAAAAAUUUUAUAGAAUUUUAUUUUUAAGUCAAAAAGCUUAAAUUUAAGUAAAAGACGAGAAGACCCUAUAGAGUUUUAUAUUUAUAAAUUAUAUAUUUUUUAGAAUUUAGAAAUUUAUUUUUUUGUAAUAUUUAGUUGGGGUGAUUAGAAAAUUAAAUAAACUUUUCUUUAACAGAGACAUUUAUUUAUGGAAAAAUGAUCCAUUUUUAAGAUUAUAAGAUUAAAUUACCUUAGGGAUAACAGCGUAAUUUUUUUUGAGAGUUCUUAUCGAAAAGAGAGAUUGCGACCUCGAUGUUGGAUUAAAAUAAAUUUUUGGUGUAGGAGCUAAAUUUAAUUAGGUCUGUUCGACCUUUAAAAUUUUACUUGAUCUGAGUU
rnacentral:rRNA from 1 species